CGGAGGAUCCGAGCGUUAUCCGGAAUAACUGGGCGUAAAGAGUUGCGUAGGUGGUUUAUUAAGCGAAUAGUGAAAUCUCAGGGCUCAACCUUGAGGCUAUUAUUCGAACUGAUAAACUUGAGAAUAUGAGAGGUAAGUGGAAUUCCCAGUGUAGGAGUGAAAUCCGUAGAUAUUGGGAGGAACACCAAUGGCGUAGGCAGCUUACUGGCAUAUUUCUGACACUGAGGCACGAAAGCGUGGGGAGCGAACCGGAUUAGAUACCCGGGUAGUCCACGCCGUAAACUAUGGAUGCUAGCUGUUGGACGUAUCGACCCGUUCAGUAGCGAAGCUAACGCGUUAAGCAUCCCGCCUGGGGAGUACGGUCGCAAGAUUA
rnacentral:rRNA from 1 species